rnacentral:rRNA from 1 species
UAUGUGAUCGUCUCUCGCAUAUCAAUAAGCGGAGGAAAAGAAACUAACAAGGAUUCCCCUAGUAACGGCGAGUGAAGCGGGAAGAGCUCAAAUUUGAAAUCUUAAAGGGUUUCCCUUUACGAAUUGUAGUUUAAAGAAGUGUUUUCUGUUGAGGUUUUGGUAAAAGUUCUUUGGAAUAGGACAUCAUAGAGGGUGAGAAUCCCGUAUUUGACCUUUACUUUCAACUUUGUGAUACACUUUCAAAGAGUCGGAUUGUUUGGGAAUGCAGUCCAAAAUGGGUGGUAAAUUUCAUCUAAAGCUAAAUAUUGGCGAGAGACCGAUAGCGAACAAGUACCGUGAGGGAAAGAUGAAAAGAACUUUGAAAAGAGAGUUAAACAGUACGUGAAAUUGUCAAAAGGGAAGCGUUUGACACCAGUGUUGUUUUUCUGAAAAUCAAUUAAAGAACUGUUUAUGCUAAGCUGUUUAGACUUUAUCAGCUAUCUGUUUAGUUUUGAGCUUUUCUUUAAUGCACUUUUCAGUUAACAAGUCAACAUCAAUUUCUUUUGCUGUAAAAAAGCUUGAGGAAGGUGGCUUGAGAUUCGUCUUAAGUGUUUAUAGCCUCUUGCCUAUGCAGUCGGAGGGAUUGAGGUCUGCAGCGUAGAUCCUUCGGGGCUAAAUGCAUUUGUGCUAAGUUAUAGCAUUUUAUAGACAACUUGUUGACUAUGAUUUGUCUUGUAGCUUACUCGCUUAUGUUAUUUUACCUACGCUUAGGAUGUUGAGUAGCGACAUACGCAC